UACGUAGGGGGCGAGCGUUGUCCGGAUUUAUUGGGCGUAAAGAGCUCGUAGGCGGUUCGAUAAGUCGGAUGUGAAAUCUCCACGCUCAACGUGGAGGGGCCAUUCGAUACUGUCGUGACUCGAGUCCGGUAGGGGAGUGUGGAAUUCUCGGUGUAGCAGUGAAAUGCGUAGAUAUCGAGAGGAACACCAGUGGCGAAGGCGAGUCUCUGGACGACACCUGACACUGAGGCACGAAAGCUAGGGGAGCAAACAGG
rnacentral:rRNA from 1 species